CAUCCGGCAAGGAUUCGAUCCCACUCCUAAAGCGGGUGUCGCAGGUUCUAAUCCUGCCGGAGGCC
rnacentral:tRNA from 1 species